UCGGCUUCGUCCUCGUCGUCG
rnacentral:miRNA from 1 species